CAGUUGAAAGAAGAAUUACGAGGUGUUGGUUUUUAUGAUUCUUUAGGGCUUGCAUGAAAGUACGAGAGAGAAAGAGAGGAAAAAUUUGAACGAUAUUUACGAUUUCAUUUCUGCAGUAUACUGUCUUCUUAGUAUACAAAGGAUUGAGGAAUGGAAAAAGGAACUCCUUCUUCCAAACUUCAUUUGCUGGACGGGAGGUCUAGCAGACCUUUGUGUAACCCAAGUGUUCUUUUCAUAUUCAGCGCUGUGUAGGAAAAGCGAUCAAGAGGUAAAUAUCCUAAUAUCUUUCUUCCGUCUUCCCACUUUCCUCAGCAGAUGUUCUCCAUGGAAUCACUGUACCUUGGAGGACUUGUUAGUAAAACUGAUUUUUCUUACCACUUUCAAUGUCUACAAUAGUGUGUUACACGUUCCUUUUAGAGACAUUGACGAAACUUGGAUACCAAUGGUACUGCCGAGUUGGUGGAUGUGGAUCUUCUGCUUCGUCAAUGUUCCCUAGCGGAGCUAUUUUUUAAGGAAAGUAUAACGACUAUCUGUGGGACUUGAAAGUGACUUGCGCAGAUCGCAGUGUAUUUUUUGUAGGAGGAUUUCUUUGACCUGAGUGAGAGUGGUUUGACAGAGAAAGAGUAUCUUUUGUCGCUUUGCUUUCCAGCCUACUCAAGCUUCAUUAUUACUUAGAUCUUGUGGUAGCAAUAAGCGUCCCUUGACGUUUUGUCGUAUGGGGAUAGCUAUUGGCUGAUUAAGCUCUGGUCUGUAGACUUUUGUAUUCUAUGGACGUUUAGAGACAUAUUGAUAUCAAUAUUUGCGCAAUUAUUUUGGCUUUUUUGUCGGUGCUUUGACCGUGCCGCUUGUGUUCUUCAUGUAGAGAGAUACAUGCAGGAAAGAAUCAAAAAUCGACUCGUUGACACAAUGUACGUUCCAACAAUCGUAAAUGCAAUUCUUUUUUUUCUUAAAUCUUUACACUUCUGUUGGGAGAAACUCUUUGGUCCUUGGCUUACAUGUAAUCAAGCGUAGUUUGGAAGAAACUGGGAAACCUUGGUGUGCUAGAGAUCGCCGAUCCUAAGUCUUUUUAUAAAGUCAAGAGAUCCAAAGUGAUCAAAGUUUCGUACUUGUUCAUGUCUUUAUAAAAAGGGUUAGUGGGUAAUUUUGAUUCACCUGAGGGUUCUCUUUUCACACCCAACUAUUGUCCCUAUAGAGUGCAUAUUACCAAUCUUCCUUUAGUUUAAGAGUUUGCAUAUCGGGAUUUUUUUUUUUUUUCUUUCUAUUUACUUUUCGGUCAGUGCUACUACGUUUUCUAUCGCGGCUAAUGAUAUUUUUAUUAGUUUUGUAAUCCUACGAAUGCAUCAUUAAACAUCACUUCUUAUUUUGAUCAUGCUUGAAGGAAAAAGGAAGUUUUAUGCAUAAUUUUUCCCUUAUGUCAGUGAUUCAUUUCAUAAAAUAUGAGAAAUGCAAGAGCAGGAUACGAUUUUCCUCAUCCCAAAAGCAGAGCUGGUACUGGUCCAAGUCGAGCAAACUAGCGUUUGCAAGAAGUUUACCAAGGUCAUAGAUUUCGUAAACGCACCCUUUAGCUGCUAUUAUAAA
rnacentral:telomerase_RNA from 1 species